rnacentral:tRNA from 1 species
ACCUGGGUGGCUCAGUCGGUUGAGCAUCUGACUCGGGCUCAGGUCAUGAUCUCACCAUUCGUGGGUUCAAGCCCCAUGUCGGGCU